rnacentral:rRNA from 1 species
GAUGAACGCUAGCGGCAGGCUUAAUACAUGCAAGUCGUGGGGCAGCAUGAGUAGCAAUACUUGAUGGCGACCGGCAAACGGGUGAGGAACACGUACACAACCUUCCUUCAAGCGGGGAAUAGCCCAGAGAAAUUUGGAUUAAUACCCCAUAAUAUAUUUGGUAAGGCAUCUUAUUAAUAUUAAAAGCUUCGGCACUUGAUGAUGGGUGUGCGGCUGAUUAGAUAGUUGGCGGGGUAACGGCCCACCAAGUCUACGAUCAGUAGCUGAUGUGAGAGCAUGAUCAGCCACACGGGCACUGAGACACGGGCCCGACUCCUACGGGAGCAGCAGUAAGGAAUAUUGGACAAUGGACGAAAGUCUGAUCCAGCCAUGCCGCGUGAAGGAUUAAGGUCCUCUGGAUUGUAAACUUCUUUAGUAUGGGACGAAAAAAGGGCAUUCUGUUCACGUUGACGGUACCAUAUGAAUAAGCACCGGCUAA